rnacentral:misc_RNA from 1 species
GAUGAAGAACGCAGCGAAAUGCGAUACGUAGUGUGAAUUGCAGAAUUCAGUGAAUCAUCGAAUCUUUGAACGCACAUUGCACCUCUCGGUAUUCCGGGAGGUAUGCCUGUUCGAGCGUCAUUAGUACCCUCAAGCUCUGCUUGGUGUUGGGUGUUUGUUCCGCCUCUGUGUGUGAACUCGCCUCAAAACAAUUGGCAGCCGGCGUACUUGUUUCGGAGCGCAGCACAUUUUGCGAUCCAGAUCAACGUACAGCGGCAUCCAAGAAGCCUUAUUUAACGCUCUUGACCUCGGAUCAGGUAGGGAUACCCGCUGAACUUAAGCAUAUCAAUAAGCGGAGGA